UACGAAGGGGCUAGCGUUGCUCGGAAUCACUGGGCGUAAAGGGUGCGUAGGCGGGUUUUUAAGUCAGGGGUGAAAUCCUGGAGCUCAACUCCAGAACUGCCUUUGAUACUGAAGAUCUUGAGUCCGGGAGAGGUGAGUGGAACUGCGAGUGUAGAGGUGAAAUUCGUAGAUAUUCGCAAGAACACCAGUGGCGAAGGCGGCUCACUGGCCCGAUACUGACGCUGAGGCGCGAAAAGCGUGGGGGAGCAAACAGGGAUU
rnacentral:rRNA from 1 species